rnacentral:pre_miRNA from 1 species
CAUCGCGCGACUCUCAGUUGGAAGUGAGGAUCUAGGCAUUGAGCUCGGCGUAGCUCUCCCGAUUAACUUGCCAGAUCUAACUCUUCCAGCUCAGGAUCGCGCGGUUCCAC